rnacentral:rRNA from 1 species
CUACGGGGGGCUCCAGUGGGGAAUAUUGGACAAUGGGCGCAAGCCUGAUCCAGCAAUGCCGCGUGAGUGAAGACGGCCUUAGGGUUGUAAAACUCUUUCGCUAGGGAAGAUAAUGACUGUACCUAGUAAAGAAGUCCCGGCUAACUCCGUGCCAGCAGCCGCGGUAAUACGGAGGGGACUAGCGUUGUUCGGAAUUACUGGGCGUAAAGAGUUCAUAGGCGGACUGACAAGUUAGAGGUGAAAUCCCAGGGCUCAACCCUGGAACUGCCUUUAAAACUGUCAGUCUAGAGACCGGAAGAGGUUAGGGGAAUACCUAGUGUAGAGGUGAAAUUCGUAGAUAUUAGGUGGAACACCAGUGGCGAAGGCGCCUAACUGGUCCGGUACUGACGCUGAGGAACGAAAGCGUGGGGAGCAAACAGGAUUAGAUACCCUUGUAGUC